GAAAAUAUCUGGCUGCACUUCCUCUCUCUCCUCCCCCUCCCCCUCGUCUCCUCCUCUUCUUCAUGCGGCUGACAGCGCAGCUCCUCGCGCCGCCCAUCCGUCCACCCUACUGCUCGUGGGCGAAGCUCCGUCCUCUCCCUGCCAUCAAUUCCCAUGUGUGCAGCGGCGGCCCCGGAGAAAUCCUCACUCGUCCUCGAGCCCACUUCCUCUUCGUUGUCUGGUGGCCAUGGGAUGGGCCUGGAUCUAGAUCGGGCGCAGGUUAGGUGAGGCCGAUGGUUGGGUGAAGGAGUAGGGGAGGCGGGUGAUGAGGACAGGAAGAAGCCGGCCGUUGUGGUGCAGUGGAGCUGCCGGGAAGAAAGAGGAGGUCGGCUGCAUCCCCGGGGGUGCCGGUGGAGGUGCUCCUCAACGAGAUUCGGCCGUGGUGGCUGCGCAGCCUCGCCCUCUCUGCCACAAGAGAUCAGCAUACCAUCGAACUCAGGUCCGGGUCGUUCUGGCCAAGCAGGAGGCUCCCACGGGCGAAGGCGAGGCUGCGACGCCAUGGUCGAGCAAGAGGAUUGCGGUGUUGUGCACGCACCUGGUCGGGUGGUCGUCAUUCACCGCCUUGGACAGCACCAGAUGAAGAUGGAGAACAACGACAGGCCUGCGCAGCCCAGGUGUUGAUGUGAGCCCGUGGUUCACGCUGGUUUCAGGUUAAGAAAGACGGUGAUGGAGGACCUUGGUUUUGUGGGCUGAUUGCCACUGUUUUACCGAUUGUAUGUUUUCUUCUAGACGAGGGUUGCCACUGGUCUGCAGCUUGGGUUAAUGCAGAUGUUGACCAUUCUUAACGAUACACUGCUUUUAGUUUGAAAAUAUGGAGAGUGCUCAGUUGGCUGCUUCAGGUCACACUAACCUGCACAGACGGCAACAGUGGUUAUGUCAGCUCGAAGAAAAGCAGUGCUUGCUUGACGUUGAUGGCUUGACCUUUUGGGCCUCUCUCCUUGGGCUCCUGAUUUCUCAGUGAGGAUCAUCUUGCCAACGUGUUUCACCCUCCUAUCCCCUCGAUUUGGUUAUAGCUUUGCAUCGCUGUCGAAAGAUCAAUGGUUCAAGCCUGAGAAAAUCUAUAAUGUUAUUUGUAGUGGUGAUGAUAGCGAGUCUUCCGGAUCGCUUCCUUAGCCUAACAACGCAGCGUACAAACCAGCUGUUAUCAACAUCGGUAAUGAUCUGGCCCUUCGCCCGUUGCAUGAAAGCCAAGAAAAACAAGAAAAAGGAGCACACAUCGCAUGGUACAAAACCAUCUAUCAUUACCAUUGUCAUGCCAUUAUACCUAAUUUUAUUUGCCUUCCUGUACAUACUAAUCUUUCAAACCCUCUUCAUGAUUAUCAUCAUACAUCAACUACAACUAAAUCCAUAAAACCGACGAAGGCUGAACACAAGACCUACAUAACCCGUAUGAUCAAACAAUGUUUUCAUUUGCUCUACUAAUACCAGUACAUGCAUAUGCUUACACCAACCAUUUUAUAUACCAUUGCAAAGGGGCACCCGACACUAUCUACUUUCUAAGCUUUGAUGGUCAUUGUACAUGGGGAAACAAAGUGAGGCUAUACAGGAAGCAGCUUACAAAUUUGAGGUGUCUCAUCGCUACAAGGAUGACCUUUGCCACUCGAGGAAUG